rnacentral:ncRNA from 1 species
AAGAUGAUGCUGAUGAAUGUCAUAUCAUCAGGGGGAGUUGGUGGUAUUUUCAAGGUUAGAGGGCGGUAUGCGGCUGACGAAUCUGGCCCCAAAUUGAUUCUGGUAAGAGGUACCGGGAGGGAAAGUUACCACAGGAAUAACUGGCUUGUGACAGCUAAGCGUCCAUAGCAAGGUUGGUUUCUGAUCCUUCGAUUCCGGUCCUUCCUAUUAUUGCGAAGUAGAAUUCACCAGGCCUUGCACUGUUACUUACCAAUAGGGAACUUGAGUUGGGUUUAUACCGUCAUGACACAGGUCAGUUUU